rnacentral:rRNA from 1 species
CAGUAGCCGCGGUAAUACGUAGGGUGCGAGCGUUAAUCGGAAUUACUGGGCGUAAAGCGUGCGCAGGCGGUUAUAUAAGACAGAUGUGAAAUCCCCGGGCUCAACCUGGAACCUGCAUUUGUGACUGUAUAGCUAGAGUACGGUAGAGGGGGAUGGAAUUCCGCGUGUAGCAGUGAAAUGCGUAGAUAUGCGGAGGAACACCGAUGGCGAAGGCAAUCCCCUGGACCUGUACUGACGCUCAUGCACGAAAGCGUGGGGAGCAAACAGGAUUAGAUACCCCCGUAGUCCCUGUCUCUUAUAC